UAAGCCCACCAAGCCCCGGGGCUGGGGCAACCCAGGGCCGGGGGGCAACCAAACCUAAGAUAGGGGGAGGAGUCGAAGAAGGGGAGGUCGUUGUGGAGGGGAGGUCUGAUCUCUUGAAACCAAACCGAACCCCAAAAACUCCUGAAUCGGUGGGGAUGACUUGAGGUGUGAAGUGCUGAUUGAGGAGUUCAACGACGAUAUGUUGAGAUCCGCCCACCUCGAAUCCGAUCUCAGAACCAGCUGCACGAAUCUUGAGGCGUCUCUCUCGGAUCUCGGCCGCCGGCUGUCCGAUUCCGUUGCCUUACUCCGCCCACUCGGAUCAGGUCUCUUCCGCUCUCGGAGGGGUGAAAUCAGGACUGCAAGAUCUUAGAUUGACGGUUUCGACUUUCGAAGCACAGUUCAGAUGGAUUUGAGAGAAGCGAGCAGAUAUUGGGGGAUGAGCUGCCGGCGCUUGCGAAGGAGGUGACCAGGGUUGAGACAGUGAGAGCUUAUGCUGGCUGCGUACGUCUCUCAGGUACACUUUUGUCGGAUUUCUCUGAGGCCCCAGCAUUAUUGCACGGACGCAUC